GGUCAUAGCUCAGUGGUAGAGCGCUUGCCUAGCAUGUGUGAGGCACUGGGUUCAAUUCUCAGCACCA
rnacentral:tRNA from 1 species